rnacentral:rRNA from 1 species
AGGACGAACGCUGGCGGCGUGCCUAACACAUGCAAGUCGAACGGAGAUUUCAGCAAUGAAAUCUUAGUGGCGAACGGGUGAGUAACGCGUAGACAACCUACCUUCUAGAUGGGGACAACACUGCGAAAGUGGUGCUAAUACCGAAUGUUGUAUCUUGGUUGCAUAAUUGAGAUACUAAAGAUGGCCUCUAUUUAUAAGCUAUCGCUAGAAGAUGGGUCUGCGUCUGAUUAGCUAGUUGGUGAGGUAAUGGCUCACCAAGGCGACGAUCAGUAGCCGGUCUGAGAGGAUGAACGGCCACACUGGGACUGAGACACGGCCCAGACUCCUACGGGAGGCAGCAGUGGGGAAUCUUCCGCAAUGGACGAAAGUCUGACGGAGCAACGCCGCGUGAGUGAAGAAGGUUAUCGGAUCGUAAAACUCUGUUUUCAGGGACGAAUGUGCAGCUUGUAAAUAAUGAGUUGUAAUGACGGUACCUGAGUAGAAAGCCACGGCUAACUACGUGCCAGCAGCCGCGGUAAUACGUAGGUGGCAAGCGUUGUCCGGAAUUAUUGGGCGUAAAGCGCGCGCAGGUGGGAUAUUAAGUCUGGUGUUAAAGUUUGGGGCUCAACCCCGUGAAGCAUUUGGAAACUGAUAUUCUUGAGUGCAGGAGAGGAAAGUGGAAUUCCUAGUGUAGCGGUGAAAUGCGUAGAUAUUAGGAGGAACACCAGUGGCGAAGGCGACUUUCUGGACUGUGUCUGACACUGAGGCGCGAAAGCUAGGGUAGUGAACAGGAUUAGAUACCCUGGUAAUCCUAGCUGUAAACGAUGGGUACUAGGUGUUGGGGGUAUCGACCCCUCCAGUGCCGGAGUUAACGCAAUAAGUACCCCGCCUGGGGAGUACGGCCGCAAGGUUG